UACGUAGGUCCCGAGCGUUGUCCGGAUUUAUUGGGCGUAAAGCGAGCGCAGGUGGUUUAUUAAGUCUGGUGUAAAAGGCAGUGGCUCAACCAUUGUAUGCAUUGGAAACUGGUAGACUUGAGUGCAGGAGAGGAGAGUGGAAUUCCAUGUGUAGCGGUGAAAUGCGUAGAUAUGUGGAGGAACACCAGUGGCGAAGGCGACGAUCUGGCCUGCAACUGACGCUCAGUCCCGAAAGCGUGGGGAGCAAAUAGG
rnacentral:rRNA from 1 species